GGAGAGUUAGAUCUUGGCUCAGAUUGAACGCUGGCGGCAGGCCUAACACAUGCAAGUCGAACGGUAGCGGGAAGAAGCUUGCUUCUUUGCCGACGAGUGGCGGACGGGUGAGUAAUGUCUGGGAAACUGCCCGAUGGAGGGGGAUAACUACUGGAAACGGUAGCUAAUACCGCAUAACGUCUACGGACCAAAGUGGGGGACCUUCGGGCCUCACACCAUCGGAUGUGCCCAGAUGGGAUUAGCUAGUAGGUGGGGUAACGGCUCACCUAGGCGACGAUCCCUAGCUGGUCUGAGAGGAUGACCAGCCACACUGGAACUGAGACACGGUCCAGACUCCUACGGGAGGCAGCAGUGGGGAAUAUUGCACAAUGGGCGCAAGCCUGAUGCAGCCAUGCCGCGUGUAUGAAGAAGGCCUUCGGGUUGUAAAGUACUUUCAGCGGGGAGGAAGGGUGAGCGGUUAAUAAUCGCUUUCAUUGACGUUACCCGCAGAAGAAGCACCGGCUAACUCCGUGCCAGCAGCCGCGGUAAUACGGAGGGUGCAAGCGUUAAUCGGAAUUACUGGGCGUAAAGCGCACGCAGGCGGUCUGUCAAGUCGGAUGUGAAAUCCCCGGGCUCAACCCGGGAACUGCAUUCGAAACUGGUAGACUGGAGUCUUGUAGAGGGGGGUAGAAUUCCAGGUGUAGCGGUGAAAUGCGUAGAGAUCUGGAGGAAUACCGGUGGCGAAGGCGGCCCCCUGGACAAAGACUGACGCUCAGGUGCGAAAGCGUGGGGAGCAAACAGGAUUAGAUACCCUGGUAGUCCACGCCGUAAACGAUGUCGACUUGGAGGCUGUUCCCUUGAGGAGUGGCUUCCGGAGCUAACGCGUUAAGUCGACCGCCUGGGGAGUACGGCCGCAAGGUUAAAACUCAAAUGAAUUGACGGGGGCCCGCACAAGCGGUGGAGCAUGUGGUUUAAUUCGAUGCAACGCGAAGAACCUUACCUGGCCUUGACAUCCACGGAAUUCUGCAGAGAUGCGGAAGUGCCUUCGGGACCCGUGAGACAGGUGCUGCAUGGCUGUCGUCAGCUCGUGUUGUGAAAUGUUGGGUUAAGUCCCGCAACGAGCGCAACCCUUAUCCUUUGUUGCCAGCGAUUCGGUCGGGAACUCAAAGGAGACUGCCGGUGAUAAACCGGAGGAAGGUGGGGAUGACGUCAAGUCAUCAUGGCCCUUACGGCCAGGGCUACACACGUGCUACAAUGGCGCAUACAAAGAGAAGCGACCUCGCGAGAGCAAGCGGACCUCAUAAAGUGCGUCGUAGUCCGGAUCGGAGUCUGCAACUCGACUCCGUGAAGUCGGAAUCGCUAGUAAUCGUAGAUCAGAAUGCUACGGUGAAUACGUUCCCGGGCCUUGUACACACCGCCCGUCACACCAUGGGAGUGGGUUGCAAAAGAAGUAGGUAGCUUAACCUUCGGGAGGGCGCUUACCACUUUGUGAUUCAUGACUGGGGUGAAGUCGUAACAAGGUAACCGUAGGGGAACCUGCGGUUGGAUCACCUCCUUACCUGAAGAUACCUUCCGGCGCAGUGUCCACACAGAUUGUCUGAUGAAAAAGUAACGAGCAGAAAAACCUCUACAGGCUUGUAGCUCAGGUGGUUAGAGCGCACCCCUGAUAAGGGUGAGGUCGGUGGUUCAAGUCCACUCAGGCCUACCAAAUUUUCACUCAUGCUGCGUUAUGUUCUCGGCUCGCAUAGUGACUAUGCUUCGCGAAAACAUGCCUUGCCUGAGUAAAAAUUACAUUUUCAGUUAUCAAAAAGAAAAUGUGACUCCUCAUGAGUGGUAGACAAAGGUUUCUGUCAGACCGUAUGGGGCUAUAGCUCAGCUGGGAGAGCGCCUGCCUUGCACGCAGGAGGUCAGCGGUUCGAUCCCGCUUAGCUCCACCAUAUGGUUUUUCGUAAUGCAAUACUUCAGAGCGUACUGGCUGACAGUAUGCUGUGAAGUAUUAUGCUCUUUAACAAUCCGGAACAAGCUGAAAAUUGAAACGACGUGUCGUGUUCAUUCUCCGUAAUAAGAAUGAAGUAAACGAUGCGUUCGAGUCUCUCAAAUGCUUACAAUCGACACACGUCUUUCGGGACGCUUGUGGGUUGUGAGGUUAAGCGACUAAGCGUACACGGUGGAUGCCCAGGCAGUCAGAGGCGAUGAAGGGCGUGCUAAUCUGCGAUAAGCGUCGGUAAGGUGAUAUGAACCGCAACAACCGACGAUACCCGAAUGGGGAAACCCGG
rnacentral:sRNA from 1 species